rnacentral:rRNA from 1 species
UACGGAGGGUGCGAGCGUUAUCCGGAUUCACUGGGUUUAAAGGGUGCGUAGGCGGCUUGAUAAGUCAGUGGUGAAAGCCGAUCGCUUAACGAUCGAACUGCCAUUGAUACUGCCAGGCUUGAGUAUAGAUGAGGUAGGCGGAAUUGACAGUGUAGCGGUGAAAUGCAUAGAUAUUGUCAAGAACACCAAUUGCGAAGGCAGCUUACUAAGUUAUAACUGACGCUGAGGCACGAAAGUGCGGGGAUCAAACAGG